AUACCUACAAGAGUGCAAAGAUGGGGGAAAGAAAAGAGCAAGCGUUAUAUUUGAAGUACUCCUCGUGUGAAUGAUUUCUGAAUGGGAAGGGAAGAGGUGGAUAAGCACAGUGCCCAAGAGAACAUUAUCUGGUCUCAACGUCUUCAGAGAGCCCAAGGGUAAACACGAGACCACGGAGCAUCUGUUCUCGGGGUUAAAGGGCUUCAGGUCCAUGGCCCACGUGCAGGAAAGAGGCCUCCAGCACACCCUAUGCCUUUAGGCGAGACAGGAGGACAGAUUAAUUACCUUUUAUAAUAAAGGCAGAGAACAGGAUGCAGGACCCUCAAAUAGCAAGGUCUCAGAAAGUAGUCUCAGUGGUAAUACUGUUACAGAAGUGAGAGUUGACAUCUGAAGGCUUAUUUUUGUAUUAGAAUUAAUAGAUAUCAAAGUACUCUAACCUGUGCUGUACAGAUGUUAAAUUUCCUGUUUUAAAAAGCAGUUUUGGAUGUCCAGCACCAAUUGGGAAAGGACACAACUCCAUUAUUUCUGACCUUAGAUCUAAUACCACUAUUCCCCCCCGGCCCCAACUCUGUACUUUAUUCUCCAAGUGACAGGCUAGGAAGAUGACAGGUAAACAUUACGGGGGAAGGGGGAAUGGGAACCGACUGAACGCUGCUCUUCUGCCUGCUGUCCAGAGUCUCAGGAGCCACGAAUGAGUGGUAAGCAAGUCCAUUUCUGAGAAACACAAUGAGCAUCGGCUCCAUAUGGCAAGACAUGGGCUGCCAGAUGUGCACAGGCUGAUAAACAGUACGAAACCACAAGGGAUGGCAGGCAUGAGAUCCUCAGACAAUCCAUUCUGAUCUCUGGUGGCUAAAAGCCACAAGGAGGGAGGAGGGAGCCUCCUGGUUGUGCUUUUGAUGCCCCACUGCUGCGCUGUUGGAGCAGCUCUGGACUGCACUGUUGUGGGGACAGGAGUUCUGAACAACCUGCUUGUCAGUAAGCCUUCUAGCAAAUGUCCCGACUCCUUUUACCUCCACAGAAGUUGAAGUGUCUUACUCUGACCCCGAACUAUCAGGGCAUCAAACAGACCAGGCAGGUAGCAGUCUGAACCAGCGGACGGUGUGUUUAAAGUGUAUUUACGUGGUGAUGGGAGUGGAGAAAAUCCCAUCCGGAAAGGGCACAGAGAAGCACGCUCUGUUUGUGGACUCUUGCCAUCACUGUCUGCUAAUCUCAUGACAAGAAUCUGUUGUAGCGAGCACCUGGAAAAUGGAUGGGAUGGAAUGGUAAGGAGACGAAAUCAAUCUCCUAGGAGUGACAUCUAAGAUAUACUGGAAACUGUCAUCUUAAUGGGUUGGAGAAAAAGGCUCAAGUGAGAUUUGUGGAAUCAGCUUCAGCUUUAAAUAUGUGUUCACAGCCACUAACCAUCAAGCAAAUGACCUUCCCAAGACUAGAAUGUCAGAAAAGGAAUGAACAGAAUGACUGACUUGAAGAUUUUGAACCUGAAGUCGUGGCUUGUGAAUAUCACAGAGAUUAAGCAAAAGGUAUCAUAACCUGUGAAUACCACACAAAGGAUGGGCAAAAGCUGCGAGAACUAUAGAGCAAAAGCCGAGAGUAACACUAAUGCCUUAAAUUAUUACCACAUCUCUCAGUUAAGCUGAGUCUGAUCAAAAGGGGGUAAACUGGAGGAGGGAAAGAUGGCGGAGGAGU